AAUAACCUUGUUUGGUUCUAAGAUAACCAUUUUUGGGCGUGAUAGGAAGCCCAUAAGACCAAACUCCAUCCAUUUUUGUUGCUGGUUUUGGCUUCUGUGGACGACAAUAGGAGGAGGCCUCGCCUUUUCCGCUUCUGCUAAUCUUCUAUGUUCCUAAGUAUCUCCAUAUCUCGCCUUUUUCUCUUCUGAACUGUAUGCACACUGCUACAAGAGUGCUUCCUUUGACUCGACCAUCAAGCUGUGGGAUGUGGAGAGAGGUAGCCUUUUGUACAGCUUGAAUGCAGAGAUCCUGUAUACUUGCAUUUAAUCCAAAUGGGGGGUAUCUAGCCAGUGGAUCAUAGGAUAACAAUGUUUACAUAUCUGGUCAGUAAAAGACGG